GUACACGACUGUAGCUGCAAUAUUUUGCAAUGGCACGCACGGCACGGCAAAAUUUGAUGUUCGGCAAAAGUUAAAUUUAGGCACGGCAUGUUUAUUCUAAAUAUUGUGGGACAUUUAACUUAUCUAUCGAAUUCGAAUGCGAGGAAAUACUUUUGAAAACUGCGCAUUUAGUUAUCUAUGCUUUGUCCAGAUUUACACCUCAUUUAUACACGG